CAGCAGCCGCGGUAAGACAGAGGAUGCAAGCGUUAUCCGGAAUGAUUGGGCGUAAAGCGUCUGUAGGUGGCUUUUCAAGUCCGCCGUCAAAUCCCAGGGCUCAACCCUGGACAGGCGGUGGAAACUACCAAGCUGGAGUACGGUAGGGGCAGAGGGAAUUUCCAGUGGAGCGGUGAAAUGCGUUGAGAUCGAAGAGAACACCAACAGCGAAAGCACUCUGCUGGGACGACACUGACACUAAGAGACGAAAGCUAGGGGAGCAAAUGGGAUUAGAGACCCCAGUAGUCCCUGUCUCUUAUAA
rnacentral:rRNA from 1 species